AACGAACGCUGGCGGCAUGCCUAACACAUGCAAGUCGAACGAGACCUUCGGGUCUAGUGGCGCACGGGUGGGUAACGCCUGGGAACCUGCCCUUAGGUUCGGAAUAACUCCCCGUAAGGGGUCCUCAUACCGGAUAAUGUCUUCGGACCAAAGAUUUAUCGCUUUUGGGUGGGCCCGCGUUGGAUUCGCUAGUUGGUAGGGUACAAGCCUACCAAGGCGACGAUCCAUAGCUGGUCUGGGAGGAGGAUCAGCCACACUGGGACUGAGACACGGCCCAGACUCCUACGGGAGGCAGCAGUGGGGAAUAUUGGACAAGGGGCGAAAGCCUGAUCCAGCAAUGCCGCGGGAGUGAUGAAGGGCUUAGGGUUGUAAAGCUCUUUUACCCGGGAUGAUAAUGACAGUACCGGGAGAAUAAGCACCGGCUAACUCCGUG
rnacentral:rRNA from 1 species